rnacentral:rRNA from 1 species
UACGUAGGGGGCAAGCGUUGUCCGGAUUUAUUGGGCGUAAAGCGCUCGCAGGUGGUUCGUUGCGUCGUGCGUGAAAGACCCCGGCUCAACUGGGGGGGUGUCGUGCGAUACGGGCGGACUGGAGGCCAGUAGGGGGAUGCGGAAUUCCGGGUGUAGUGGUGGAAUGCGUAGAGAUCCGGAGGAACACCAGUGGCGAAGGCGGCCUUCUGGGAUGCUCCUGACGCUCAGACACGAAAGCUAGGGGAGCGAACGGG